GAUCGGCGUCGCGGACGGUUAUUUUUCCGUCCUCUUCCUGUUCGGAGUCACUUCCGUGUCACGUGAUGAUCCGUCUACUAGCGUCACCCGACGCCCGUGCGCCGCUGCCUCCGGAAACCCCGCCUUUCCGCCUGGCUUCCAGCGGCUACAGAGAGCCGGCGUGUUCCCGCCCAUUCGCGUUGGUCUGACCUGUUCGUUUUCUCUUUCUCCAGCACGCGUCCCUUAACUGGAGUUUCUUCUUCUUCUACUUCUUCAACAUCAUCCAAAUCUUGAUCAAGUUCAGACUGUUCUUUGUUGUCAAUGUCUGCCAUGUUGUAAGAACUCCAAAUAUCGGCAGCUAGUACGGGGAGCCAGGCGGCCGGAGCUGCGCAGGCAGUGACCCAGGGUGGCGGCGGCGGCGGGAGGAGCAGGAGGCCCAUGCUAUUCUUUGUAAUAGCCAAACACUGGAAAGAACGCAAACGUCCAUCAACAGUUUCCCCUCAACCCUUCAGUAAAGAACAACCUUGUGUGGUCACUGGGGAGAAUGCACACCUGCCCCCAACUGUGAAUACAGUGGUAUUUCAUCCAGAGGAACUGCACCAGUUCUAGGCUGUGACCAGCUGCCAGGUCUGUUUCCCCCUGUAGACUAUACAUUCCAAGAGAGCAAUCUGUUUUGUUCUACACUGGACGCUGAGCAUCCAGCCCAGAGUCUGGCACAUAGUAGAUAAUAAAUAUUUGUUGAAUAAAUGAAGAUCAGAAGACAUGGGAAGUGGGAGUAAAGGCGAAAAAGAAAAUGUGCUGCACUGAGGAUCCUGUUGAAGAGUUUCAUUUGGCAUGGGAAGGAGAUGGAAGUCAUUCUCCUUCCUCACCUAUGGAAAUAUUUAUAUUGUUGGUUUAUUUUUUCAGAGUAUAAAAGUAAUUCUAUAUUUAUUACAAAACAAGUGUCAAUACCAAGUAUUGACUAGAACUCUUGUAUAUUACUGGUAAGUAUAUAAAUUGAUUCAAACACUAUUUAGCAGUAUAUACAAAAGCUAAACAUAUACCCCAAACCUAGCAAUUCUACUCCUAAAUAUUUGUCCUAGAGAAAUAAGCGCACAUGUUCACCAAAAGACUUGUACAAGAAUAUGCUUAGCAGCUUUAUUUAUAAGAGCCAAAAUAGGAAAUAACUCAAAUGUCCAUUAGUGUAGAAUGGAUCAACAAAUUGUGGUGUAUUUAUACAAAGGAAUACUACCCAAUGAUAAAAAAAAUAGCAAACAAUACUGUAGCACAUAACAAUAUGGAUGAACUUCAAAAAAAUGUUGUGACAUGUCAGACACAAAUGAGUACAAUUGGGUCUGAUUCCAUUUAUAUGAAGUUCAAGAACCAGCAAAACUAAUCUGUGGUAAUAGAAAUCAGAGUAGUGGUUACUUUGGAAGUUUCUCAACUGGCAAGGGGUACAAGGGAGCCUUUGGAGGUGUUGAAAAUGCUCUAUAUUUUGUUCUGGGUGAUGAUAUAUGUGUGUGUGUAAGCAUUCAUCAAGUGUACACUGCAGAUUUGCACACUUUAGUGUGUGCAGAUUAUACCCCAAUAAAAAAAGUAAACAAAUCAAAAAAGUAAUAAAUGCCCAUUGUCAAAAACUCAAAUAAUACAGAAGUGUAUACCAUGUAAAUUAAAGGUCUCUU